rnacentral:rRNA from 1 species
UGUGUACCUGCUCUUGAAGCAGGUAUUUAUUAUCUAUCAUGCUUCCAAGAAAAGCCCGAACUACUGUUAAAUAUGAAAUACCUGUACCGUAAACCGACACAGGUAGGUUAGUAGAGUAUACUAAGGGGCGCGAGAUAACUCUCUCUAAGGAACUCGGCAAAAUGACCCCGUAACUUCGGGAGAAGGGGUGCCCACUCUAAAGGUGGGCCGCAGUGACCAGGCCCUGGCGACUGUUUAUCAAAAACAUAGGUCUCCGCAAAGUCGUAAGACAACAUAUGGGGGCUGACGCCUGCCCAGUGCCGGAAGGUUAAGGAAGUAGGUUAGGAUUUAUCCGAAGCUCACGACUGAAGCCCCGGUGAACGGCGGCCGUAACAAUAACGGUCCUAAGGUAGCGAAAUUCCUUGUCGGGUAAGUUCCGACCCGCACGAAAGGCGUAACGAUCAGGGCACUGUCUCGGAGAGAGACUCGGUGAAAUAGACAUGUCUGUGAAGAUGCGGACUACUUGCACUUGGACAGAAAGACCCUAUGAGGCUUGACUGUAGCUUGGAAUUGGGUUCGGGCUUUUCUUGCGCAGCCUAGGUGGGAGGCUAUGAAGAAAUACUUCUGGGUAUCUUGGAGCCGUCAGUGAGAGACCACUCUGGAGAAGCUAGAAUUCUAAUGGCGUUCCUUGAAGCAGGAUGCUUGACAGUUUCAGGUGGGCAGUUUGACUGGGGCGGUCACCUCCUAAAAGGUAACGGAGGUGUGCAAAGGUUCCCUCAGGCUGGACGGAAAUCAGCCGUAGAGUGUAAAGGCAGAAGGGAGCUUACUGCAAGACCUACAAGUCGAGCAGGGGCGAAAGCCGGCCUUAGUGAUCCGACGGUUCCGUGUGGAAGGGCCGUCGCUAAACGGAUAAAAGUUACUCUAAGGAUAACAGGCUGAUCUUCCCCAAGAGUUCACAUCGACGGGAAGGUUUGGCACCUCGAUGUCGGCUCAUCGCAACCUGGGGCGGUAGUACGUCCCAAGGGUUGGGCUGUUCGCCCAUGAAAGCGGUACGUGAGCUGGGUUCAGAACGUCGUGAGACAGUUCGGUCCAUAUCCGGUGUAAGCGUUGGAGCAUUGAGAGGAUUCUUCCAUAGUACGAGAGGACCUGGAAGAACACACCUCUGGUAUACCAGUUAUCACGCCAGUGGUAAACGCUGGGUAGCCAAGUGUGGAGAGGAUAACCGCUC